rnacentral:rRNA from 1 species
UACAGAGGGGGCAAGCGUUAUUCGGAAUUAUUGGGCGUAAAGCGUGCGCAGGCGGCCUUCCAAGUCAGGGGUGAAAGCCCAGAGCUCAACUCUGGAAUUGCCUUUGAGACUGUGAGGCUUGAGUACGGGAGAGGUGAGUGGAAUUCCCAGUGUAGAGGUGAAAUUCGUAGAUAUUGGGAAGAACACCGGUGGCGAAGGCGGCUCACUGGCCCGAAACUGACGCUCAUGCACGACAGCGUGGGGAUCAAACAGG